AGGCUUCGGCAAUGGGGGAAACCCUGACCGAGCGACGCCGCGUGAAGGAUGAAGGCCCUUGGGUUGUAAACUUCUUUUGUUCGGGAAGAAAUGCGAUCAGGUAAAUAAUCUGGUCGUUUGACGGUACCUGCAGAAGAAGCCCCGGCUAACUACGUGCCAGCAGCCGCGGUGAUACGUAGGGGGCGAGCGUUGUCCGGAUUCACUGGGCGGAAAGGGCGCGUAGGCGGUUCCGUAAGUCAGGCGUGAAAGCUCACGGCGCAACUGUGGACGUGCGUCUGAUACUGCGGUGACUUGAGGUCGGUAGAGGUAAGUGGAACUAGCGGUGUAGCGGUGAAAUGCGCAGAUAUCGCUAGGAACGCCGGUGGCGAAGGCGACUUGCUGGGCCGUACCUGACGCUGAUGCGCGAAAGCUAGGGGAGCGAAC
rnacentral:rRNA from 1 species